CCCCGACUUGAACGGAGCUCUUUUUUUCUUGCCGCUAUGGGGUUAUCAUUUUUGCGGCAAGAAAAAAAAGCGGGAGUGGAAGGCGGAAUAGGUG
rnacentral:sRNA from 1 species